GAUGAACGCUGGCGGCGUGCCUAAUACAUGCAAGUCGAGCGAACGGACGAGAAGCUUGCUUCUCUGAUGUUAGCGGCGGACGGGUGAGUAACACGUGGAUAACCUACCUAUAAGACUGGGAUAACUUCGGGAAACCGGAGCUAAUACCGGAUAAUAUUUUGAACCGCAUGGUUCAAAAGUGAAAGGCGGUCUUGCUGUCACUUAUAGAUGGAUCCGCGCUGCAUUAGCUAGUUGGUAAGGUAACGGCUUACCAAGGCAACGAUGCAUAGCCGACCUGAGAGGGUGAUCGGACACACUGGAACUGAGACACGGUCCAGACUCCUACGGGAGGCAGCAGUAGGGAAUCUUCCGCAAUGGGCGAAAGCCUGACGGAGCAACGCCGCGUGAGUGAUGAAGGUCUUCGGAUCGUAAAACUCUGUUAUUAGGGAAGAACAUAUGUGUAAGUAACUGUGCACAUCUUGACGGUACCUAAUCAGAAAGCCACGGCUAACUACGUG
rnacentral:rRNA from 1 species